rnacentral:lncRNA from 1 species
CGACUAAUAGUUUGUUGUUGGCGCAGGUGUUGCGUCCGACCGACCGGCUGACCUCUCUGCUGCCGACCAUAGAGGAGCAACACUUCGCCGUCGAGCAGACGCCCAACAGAACCAGAUCCGGCAGCGAAAGCAGUGAGAGCGAAGAAACCUCCGACUGGCCGCGAAGCCCCGUACUCCCAGUGUAUUGCAACAACUGAACACCAAACACUCGCGCCUUCUAGUUGUAAGCUGAUAUUUAAGUUGGAAUUAUCAAACCAUAGACAAAAACUUAUGGCUGUAUGUGAGUGUGACCGUGGCGGAUGUUUAUUACAUUUCUUUUAAAAAAUUUUAGCUGAAUGGAUUUCUUCUUUUGCCAUAAUAAGAAAAUUAUCUCUUGUAGUAGUAUUGGAAGUAUGUUUGGAAGUAUUGACUGAUAAUUUUAUUUUGUGCAAUGGAAACAUCGAUUGGGAAAGCUUUUUUGUCUGAGUGCAAUAAUUGUCUAUGGUUUGAUUGAAUGGCGUGCCUUAGUAUAGAAGCAAUCGGUCCGAAAUACAUGUUUGAAAUUAGGCAAACUGAGAUUUUUAUUCUGUGGUAAAAUUUAUAUUAAUAUUGUUUAAAGAGCCUAGCUUUUGAUUUAAGUUUUUUUUUUUUGCGUAAAAUAAUCAUAGAAUAAAAAUCUCUCACUAAUCAGGCAGCUAAUGUGAAGGAAGGCGCGUUUUAUCAUCCCAUUAUUUCAUUGUUUUAAUUAUUUUAUAUGCGUAGAUGUAUGUGUGAUCCCAUUUUUGAAAUAGUAGUCAAAAUACCGUGAUCCGAACAUUUUAGCGCGAAGUUACGGAAUUAAAAGAGUAACAAUUCGAAAAAAGAACACAAUGGAUAUUGUCGUUCCUUGUUUAAAAUUUUAAAUUCCGAUAUUUUUUAGGAGCGUUGAAUUUCAAGAGUCGAGCGGGCAUUAGGUUAUCUAUAGUUUGUAGACUUUUGAGUUUAUGAAGGUGCAAUUAAAGUGGUCGAACCAGUUUAAAAAAAAAAUUAAAAAAAAAAGUAUUAUGUAAUUAUGAUGUUCGAAUCGGUAAUUUUACAUUUGGAACUGUCAAGUUAAAUGUAAAAUGAAUAGGGCUUUCAAAUUAUAUAAAUAAAUGAUUGUAAUAUUUGAUUGUAAUUUUGAUAAUGGCUAAAAUUAAAUGUCAAAUUAUUGAUUCGAAUUGGAUUUUUUUCUUUUUACGACGCCGAUUGUUCCUUUUUUUUCUGUCAGUGGCUUUAUUAAUUGUAAAUGUAAUAAUAUUGUAAGUGUAAUGUGUUGAACAUUAUGGAGCAAUCGACGUCACCGCACACCAUAGCUUUCAUACUGUGAUUUUUGUAAACAAACAAACAACAAGAUAAAUUCCAUAUUUUCUGAUAGAGUAAGUUCUUUGAAUAUUUGUUGGUCUAAAAAUGCUGCGUACGAAUUACAAUUUUGUAAAAUAGAUUAUUUCUUAAUCUAUGCUCAACCAUAAAGUUGUCAUUUGUAUUUGGUAUUUUUUCUUCUAUUUGUGUUAAUAGUGUGAAUGCGAUAUUUUAUACACAGAAAAGUGAAAAAAAUCAAAUCCACCGAAGUUUUUUUUUUUCUAUUAUCUAUCAAUAACUUAAGUAUUAUAAAUAUGUAGUUAUUAAAAUAUAUCCAGUGACAGACUAACUCCUUAUUGAGUUGAAACAGAAAAAAUCUUAUACUUAAAAAAAAUGUUGGCAUUAUAUUAUUUCUAAUUAUUUGUAGUGUUAUUUAUAGUAAUUCUAAUAUUGAUACUUAUUUCCUAAUAAUUAUAGUCUAUAAAUGAAUAAAUGAAAAAAAAAAAUAUAUAAAUCUUGAAAAAAUACAGAAAAAAAUGAUCUCAGGUAAUUUUUUCAUAGUUUCUAUACUACCUACGUCAAUAAAAAUAUGAAAAAAAAAAACAAAAUAUUUUUAAACACAUAAGGUCUGUAUGUAUAUUUUCCUUUGCUUUGAUUUUCUUUAUCUUCGCUUUUUAGUCGUGUGUUUCUAUGAAUGGGUUGGUCUUCACCCACAUACAGAACUUAUGCAUCUAUUUAAAACAUAAGAUUUUCUAUCAAUUUGUAUGCGUGAAUGUCGUUCCUAAUGUCCAUUGAUGAGCGAAGAGGUGGCCUAAUAUUCUAAAAUCAAAUUCAAAUCUAUUCACAUUACAUUCUCAUUCCAUCGCAUUUAAAUUUAGAAUGUAAUGUUGGGACCAUUUAGGCGCGAAAAUUUUAUUUUUACAUUAUAUUAUACCACAUUGAAAAAAAAAAAUUGUCAUUGAGCAAAUGCAAACAAAAUUGUUCAAUCUUAUAUUUUUUUUUAAUUCUCUUCGCUCAUUCAGCAUGGACGUUGGGUUGUAUGUCCAUAGAUAAAGAAUGUACACAAUCUCUGUGAUAUGUCUCGUCGAACGUCAUGGCGUAUCGAAUAUUUUAAGAUCAGUUUUGUAAUAACAGUUUUUAAAAGCCGCAGACAUCUUAACAAUGAGACAGUGAAGCCGAAUAUAAUUUGUAAGAUAGUCUGAAACUGUAAUUUGCGUUCGGCGAUUUAACUUUCAGUUUUUAAUUCGUAUUAUUCAAUGAAUAUUUAUUAUUAUUAUUAUUAAUUAAUUCCAUUGAUAUGAAUUUAGUAUUUGCGGGUGAUUUAUUUUUAGUGAAAUAGUCAUAUAAUGGUAUUAUAGUUAUUAUAAUUAAAUUGUAUUUUUAUCUCGAAUAUGACAUAUCUAUGAAUCAUAGUUGAAGUCGAAUCGCCGAUCCAAUUCUGCAUUUAAGUCACUUGGCUUGAUUUAGUGUGAGUGUCUAUAACGCAUUGUGUCUAUUGUUUCGUAUUCUCGCCGAGGUUUUUACGAGAACGCUACAAAAUUGAAAUGGACAAAUCUGACAUCGGUACUAUCUCUAUGUCAACUUAUUAUGCGUGAGCGAGACAACAUAAUUGUUUGAUGUUCUCGUAAGUCCUCAGUGGCAAUACGAAAUAACUAUUUUAUAAAUAAUGUAUAAAAUGAAGGAACAAUUGAUAUAUUUUUUUUUAAAUUGUCAACGAAUAUCAUUGUUUACAUGUUACUUAACUUAGUUAAGAAUAGUUUAUUUCGAUUAUUUCAACUUAAUAUAUUGACAAUCGAGAAAAUCGAUUUAAAAAUGUGUACGAAGCAAUAUCUGAUUUUAAAAUAUCUAUAAUAUAAUGUUUGAUUUAAAAAAUCAAUAAUCUUAUUCGUAUUCAUCAGUCAACUAGUGUAUAUUUUGUAAUCAGUGAUAGUUUAUUACUAAAACUGUUUUUUAUGGGUACUAUAUAUAUAUAUAUAUAUUAUAUAUAUAUAUAUAUAUAUAUAUAAUCAGACUGGUAUGGUCGAUAUUGCAAUGGGUGAUCAGAAGAACUCUAUAUAUAUAUUGGAUAUUACUCAUCAGUGGUUUUUUACGAGCAAUGUCAGUGUUACUUACAUUUUAUACAAUGGACACAGUGCGAGCUGCAUGUAGUACUGAAAUCUCAUAUGAGAGAAUAAAAAGCUACGACUCUUAA